UCCGGUUUGUCACCGGCGGUCUCCUUAGAGUUCCCACCAUUACGUGCUGGCCCCUUACGGACACGGGCUUUCACCCGCUUUAACCAGCAUGUCAAGCCCAGGUAAGGUUCUUCGCGUUGCAUCGAAUUAAGCCGCAUGCUCCGCCGCUUGUGUGGGCCCCCGUCAAUUCCUUUGAGUUUUAGCCUUGCGGCCGUACUCCCCAGGCGGGGCACUUAAUGCGUUAGCUUCGGCACGGAGGGAGUCGACACCCCCCACACCUAGUGCCCAUCGUUUACAGCGUGGACUAC
rnacentral:misc_RNA from 1 species